rnacentral:rRNA from 1 species
UACAGAGGGUGCGAGCGUUAAUCGGAAUUACUGGGCGUAAAGGGCUCGUAGGCGGCCAACUAAGUCAGACGUGAAAUCCCUCGGCUUAACCGGGGAACUGCGUCUGAUACUGGAUGGCUUGAGUUUGGGAGAGGGAUGCGGAAUUCCAGGUGUAGCGGUGAAAUGCGCAGAUAUCAGGAAGAACACCAAUGGCGAAAGCAGCUCUCUGGGACGGUACUGACGCUGAGACGCGAAAGCGUGGGGAGCGAACAGG